rnacentral:lncRNA from 1 species
UCACAAGCUAAGAUUGCACAAUCAAUCAUCCAUGCUCUAUAAUAACCAAGCGUUUGUAAUUUGCUUUGUCGCAUGUACAUAGAUCUAACUGUCCUAGGGCUCACCCACGAGGGGUUCACAUGCUGAGGGAGGCAAAUUGGUUCAGCUUUAUUUUUGUGUCCAUCCAUUGUCAAUGAAAAUUGGAGGCCAAUGAAUGAAUGAUGAGAACUGAAAACUCUCGAAAUAUUCAAAGCUUGGUACCAUCGCUCCCUAUCACAUUAUUAUCCCUUGCCUCCAAAACACUCAUCAAUUGGGUUGUAGUCCCAUCCAAAUCUGGUAACCCUCCCUCUUCAACAUUCCCAAUAGCCACUGAUAUAUUUGCACCCGCAAAUGUUACCCCACAUGCAUUUUCCAUUUGGUUUCUUGCUAGCUCGCACCUUCGAGGAAGCUUCCUCUUUUCCCUUCAAAUAUAUAGUUGAUAUACUUGAUACUAACAUAUGUCACACUCUUCAGUCUCUCGAAGGAACCGGUUUUUAUUCAAUUAUAUCUUUGUUUUAGCCGUAUUCUACAAAAACUGUACAUGUUUUGUUUUCAGCCAUAGAAAGGAAUUAUUUAUUGAAAAGGCGCUUUAAUUGCAGGCAUCUCUUGCUAGCCUGAGUUUUGGCCUUUUCAGGCUUCCUUCGAGUGUGUUUAGAUAAGCGUUGUAAUUAUGUUAAACUGAAAAAUUACAUAUAUAUUCCAAAACAAAAACAGAAAAGUUAUGUUGAAUGGUGGUAAAUUGAGGGGGUCGGAUGCAACUGAAAUUCAAACACACCCUUAGUUUGCAGAUGUUUGAAUGAGUGUUGCAUCCAACACAACUAACUUUUAAGUCAAAGUUUCCACAGACUUGCUUAAUUUUGGCUUUUUUGUUUCAUAAAGUACGUGUAAUUUUCCAAACAUGGAUACAACAGGUAUAUUCAAUCGUUAAAGUGGUUGGUUAAUCCUAAAUCGAUAGGAGAAUCAACUUAAAUAAAGUUUAUAAAGCUCUAAUAAUUUCUGCCUUAUAAAUUGGUUUUAUACUGUUAAAUUAGGUUUUGAUCUCAUAAUUUAAGAUAAUGGAAUGUAUAUCUUAUUUUUAUAAUUAAAAUAUAGCAAGUAUAUCUUAAAUUCAUUAUUUGGACAAUCUGUAAUUGCUACAUAUGGUUUUGUAGAAUUAAGUAAGCUUCUAAGUUCAAAUUCUAAUAUUAUCAAUUAUGAAAAGAAAAGGACAUUAAUUUGCCAACAUCUUUGGUAUAAGAAAUUAUUUCAGGUGAAUGAUAGAGCAUGGGAGCGUGAGAUCGAGAAGCGAAUUUGAAUCAUCAUAUAAUUCAAAUAAAUAGUUUAAAUUAAAAUUAAUUAAAAUAAUCCUAAUCGUUAAAAUAUAACUUAAUGAUUAACAUUUAUUUUUGUCAUCCAUGCACACAUACAUAUAAAAUAAUGGUUUGAUAACUUACGAGGUUUCCUUGAACUUUCC